rnacentral:rRNA from 1 species
GAUGAACGCUGGCGGCGUGCCUAAUACAUGCAAGUCGAGCGAAUGGAUUAAGAGCUUGCUCUUAUGAAGUUAGCGGCGGACGGGUGAGUAACACGUGGGUAACCUGCCCAUAAGACUGGGAUAACUCCGGGAAACCGGGGCUAAUGCCGGAUAACAUUUUGAACCGCAUGGUUCGAAAUUGAAAGGCGGCUUCGGCUGUCACUUAUGGAUGGACCCGCGUCGCAUUAGCUAGUUGGUGAGGUAACGGCUCACCAAGGCAACGAUGCGUAGCCGACGUGAGAGGGGGAUCGGCGACACUGGGACUGAGAAACGGCCCAGACUCCUACGGGAGGCAGCAGUAGGGAAUCUUCCGCAAUGGACGAAAGUCUGACGGAGCAACGCCGCGUGAGUGAUGAAGGCUUUCGGGUCGUAAAACUCUGUUGUUAGGGAAGAACAAGUGCUAGUUGAAUAAGCUGGCACCUUGACGGUACCUAACCAGGAAGCCACGGCUAACUACGUGCCAGCCGCCGCCGUAA